GGAAACAGUUGCUAAAACUGGAUAGGAAAUAAAAAGGCAUCUUUUUAUUUUUAAAAGACCUUUUUCGGAAGGUAUGCUUAAAGAGGGGCUUGCGUCACAUUAGUUAGUUGGUAGGGUAAAGGCCUACCAAGACUAUGAUGUGUAGCUGGACUGAGAGGUUGAACAGCCACAUUGGGACUGAGACACGGCCCAAACUCCUACGGGAGGCAGCAGUAGGGAAUUUUCGGCAAUGGAGGAAACUCUGACCGAGCAACGCCGCGUGAACGAUGAAGUAUUUCGGUAUGUAAAGUUCUUUUAUUGAAGAAGAAAAAAUAGUGGAAAAACUAUCUUGACGCUAUUCAAUGAAUAAGCCCCGGCAAACUAUGUGCCAGCAGCCGCGGUAAUACAUAGGGGGCAAGCGUUAUCCGGAAUUAUUGGGCGUAAAGGGUGCGUAGGCGGUUUAAUAAGUCUAUAGUUUAAUUUCAGUGCUUAACACUGUUCUGCUAUAGAAACUAUUAAACUGGAGUGAGAUAGAGGCAAGUGGAAUUCCAUGUGUAGCGGUAAAAUGCGUAAAUAUAUGGAGGAACACCAGAGGCGUAGGCGGCUUGCUGGGUCUUUACUGACGCUGAGGCACGAAAGCGUGGGGAGCAAACAGGAUUAGAUACCCUGGUAGUCCACGCCGUAAACGAUGAGUACUAAGUGUCGGGGUUACUCGGUACUGAAGUUAACACAUUAAGUACUCCGCCUGAGUAGUACGUACGCAAGUAUGAAACUUAAAGGAAUUGACGGGACUCCGCACAAGCGGUGGAUCAUGUUGUUUAAUUCGAAGAUACACGAAAAACCUUACCAGGUCUUGACAUACUCUGCAAAGCUAUAGCAAUAUAGUGGAGGUUAUCAGGGAUACAGGUGGUGCAUGGUUGUCGUCAGCUCGUGUCGUGAGAUGUUAGGUUAAGUCCUAAAACGAGCGCAACCCUUGUCACUAGUUGCCAGCAUGUUAUGAUGGGCACUUUAGUGAGACUGCCAAUGAAAAAUUGGAGGAAGGUGAGGAUCACGUCAAAUCAUCAUGCCCCUUAUGAUCUGGGCUACAAACGUGAUACAAUGGCUGUUACAAAGAGUAGCUGAAACGCAAGUUAAUAGCCAAUCUCAUAAAAACAGUCUCAGUUCGGAUUGAAGUCUGCAACUCGACUUCAUGAAGUUGGAAUCGCUAGUAAUCGCGAAUCAGCAUGUCGCGGUGAAUACGUUCUCGGGGUUUGUACACACCGCCC
rnacentral:rRNA from 1 species